AUGUCGAGGGAGCGCAAGAAGGCAGCUGCCCUACAGGAGAAGAUGCAGAUUCUGCGCUCCAUCACUCACUCCCACGCGCUGAGCAAUCCUUCCAUAGUCAUGGACGCGUCAGAGUACAUCAAGGGGCUGAAGCAGAAGAUCGCGAGGCUCAAUCAGGAGAUAGCACGCGAGGAAGACACGCACUCGCACAAGCAGAACUCUUUCCCCACGGUGAGCGUGGAAGCCCUAGGGCAUGGGUUCCUCGUGAACGUGUCCUCCGACAAGAGCUACCCCGGGUUGCUCGUCGCCGUGCUGGAGGCGUUCGAGGAGCUGGGCCUCACCGUGCUCCAGGCCACGGCGUCUUGCGCCGAUACGUUCCGCCUCGAGGCCGUCGGAGGAGAGAACCAGGCGGGGAGUGUGGAUGAGGAUGUCAUCAGGCGGGCGGUGCAGCAGGCCAUCACCAACUGCGGCGCGGAGCAAGGGGAUCAGUAG
rnacentral:rRNA from 1 species